rnacentral:rRNA from 1 species
AGGAUGAACGCUAGCUACAGGCUUAACACAUGCAAGUCGAGGGGCAGCAUUAUCGAAGCUUGCUCUGAUAGAUGGCGACCGGCGCACGGGUGAAGUAACGCGUAUCCAACCUUCCCCAUAGUCAGGAAUACGCCCGGCGAAAGUCGAAUUAAUGCCUGAUGUUUUCCACGGACGGCAUCCGAUGUGGAACAAAGAUUGAUCGCUAUGGGAUGGGGAUGCGUCUGAUUAGCUUGUUGGCGGGGUAACGGCCCACCAAGGCAACGAUCAGUAGGGGUUCUGAGAGGAAGGUCCCCCACAUUGGAACUGAGACACGGUCCAAACUCCUACGGGAGGCAGCAGUGAGGAAUAUUGGUCAAUGGGCGGAAGCCUGAACCAGCCAAGUAGCGUGAGGGAUGACUGCCCUAUGGGUUGUAAACCUCUUUUAUAAGGGAAUAAAAUACGGGACGUGUCCUGUUUUGCAUGUACCUUAUGAAUAAGGACCGGCUAAUUCCGUG